rnacentral:rRNA from 1 species
UCAUAAUCAGUGAAAACGAGUAGGGCGGGACACGUGAUAUCCUGUCUGAAUAUGGGGGGACCAUCCUCCAAGGCUAAAUACUACUGACUGACCGAUAGUGAACCAGUACCGUGAGGGAAAGGCGAAAAGAACCCCUGUGAGGGGAGUGAAAUAGAACCUGAAACCGUGUACGUACAAGCAGUAGGAGCACCUUCGUGGUGUGACUGCGUACCUUUUGUAUAAUGGGUCAGCGACUUAAUUUUAGUAGCAAGGUUAACCGUUUAGGGGAGCCGUAGGGAAACCGAGUCUUAACUGGGCGUACAGUUGCUAGGAUUAGACCCGAAACCAGGUGAUCUAGCCAUGGGCAGGUUGAAGGUUGAGUAACAUCAACUGGAGGACCGAACCGACUAAUGUUGAAAAAUUAGCGGAUGACUUGUGGCUAGGGGUGAAAGGCCAAUCAAACCUGGAGAUAGCUGGUUCUCCCCGAAAGCUAUUUAGGUAGCGCCUCGGACGAAUACUACUGGGGGUAGAGCACUGUUAAGGCUAGGGGGUCAUCCCGACUUACCAACCCUUUGCAAACUCCGAAUACCAGUAAGUACUAUCCGGGAGACACACGGCGGGUGCUAACGUCCGUCGUGGAGAGGGAAACAACCCAGACCGCCAGCUAAGGUCCCAAAGUAUAGCUAAGUGGGAAACGAUGUGGGAAGGCUCAGACAGCCAGGAUGUUGGCUUAGAAGCAGCCAUCAUUUAAAGAAAGCGUAAUAGCUCACUGGUCGAGUCGGCCUGCGCGGAAGAUGUAACGGGGCUAAGCUAUACACCGAAGCUGCGGCUACGUACCUUAGGGUAUGUGGGGUAGGGGAGCGUUCUGUAAGCCGUUGAAGGUGGUCUGUAAGGGCUGCUGGAGGUAUCAGAAGUGCGAAUGCUGACAUGAGUAACGAUAAAGGGAGUGAAAAACUCCCUCGCCGGAAGACCAAGGGUUCCUGUCCAACGUUAAUCGGGGCAGGGUAAGUCGACUCCUAAGGCGAGGCCGAAAGGCGUAGUCGAUGGGAAACGGGUUAAUAUUCCCGUACUUCUUACAAUUGCGAUGGGGGGACGGAGAAGGCUAGGUGGGCCUGGCGACGGUUGUCCAGGUUCAAGUACGUAGGCGGGUGGUUUAGGUAAAUCCGGACCGCUACUAACGCUGAGAUACGAUGUCGAGCUACUACGGUAGUGAAGUCAUUGAUGCCAUGCUUCCAGGAAAAGCCUCUAAGCUUCAGAUUGUAAGGAAUCGUACCCCAAACCGACACAGGUGGUCGGGUAGAGAAUACCAAGGCGCUUGAGAGAACUCGGGUGAAGGAACUAGGCAAAAUGGUACCGUAACUUCGGGAGAAGGUACGCUCUUAUCAGUGAAGUCCCUUGCGGAUGGAGCAGACGAGAGUCGCAGAUACCAGGUGGCUGCAACUGUUUAUUAAAAACACAGCACUGUGCAAAAUCGUAAGAUGACGUAUACGGUGUGACGCCUGCCCGGUGCCGGAAGGUUAAUUGAUGGGGUUAGACUUCGGUCGAAGCUCUUGAUCGAAGCCCCGGUAAACGGCGGCCGUAACUAUAACGGUCCUAAGGUAGCGAAAUUCCUUGUCGGGUAAGUUCCGACCUGCACGAAUGGCGUAAUGAUGGCCACGCUGUCUCCACCCGAGACUCAGUGAAAUUGAAAUCGCUGUGAAGAUGCAGUGUACCCGCGGCUAGACGGAAAGACCCCGUGAACCUUUACUACAGCUUGGCACUGAACAUUGAACCUACAUGUGUAGGAUAGGUGGGAGACUAUGAAAUUGCGUCGCUAGAUGUGAUGGAGUCGUCCUUGAAAUACCACCCUUGUAGUUUUGAUGUUCUAACGUUGGUCC